rnacentral:misc_RNA from 1 species
GGUAUAGUUAAUUCAAAGGAUUUGAGACAACCAUAUGCACAGAAAUUCCAUUUCUCCUGAGCAAACAUGGCAAGCUAGCAUUCAACAAUGGCUGCUAAGAAAAAUACAAAAGCAACUCUACAAUUACAAGAGAGAGAAAGAGAGAGAGAGGUGAAAAUCGACUGCUGAAAGAAGCCCCAACUACCAAAGCACGCAAAGAAAAAAACAGUUGCAAAGAGCAUAAAAUUUUCAAAGUAAAAACCUUUUGCUUCAAAACACACCAAAUCAUAAAGUUUAUUUUCACCUUAUUGAGAAUCAGUAGGGUUUUCAUCUCCACUAUCACUACCUUGUUGCUGGUUUUCUUGAUUGUGUUGCUCUAUGUUCAUCCCUAAUCCAACCCUACUACUGUUAUAAGCAUCAGCACCACCACCCAGUAUCCCCAUAUUGCUCUCUGCAACUCCUAACCCCAGCUGCUGCUGAACCAUCAUGGACCCUAGUUGAACCGGGCUUACCCGGCCACCUCCACUGAAAUUUACUCUCUGCAUAGGUGUUACUCCAGCUGCAGGAAAAGUCCACAUCUGGGGCUCUGGCAUGGCGGCUGUGGUGGUGGUGGUGCCACCUACUGGUAACAUCCAGAAUGCAUUGCUUCCAUUUGUAGCGGCCGGCGCAACUGCCCACAUAGCUGGAGUUGCAAGAAUGUUUGAUGGUCUAAUGGAACCCAGCUCUUGAUGAAAAUGAUCUUGAACUCCAGUUCUUGCAGCAGCUAUUGGUGGCUUAUUAUUAGAAGUUGGGUUAACUGGUUCAGUGGAUUCUUGUUGGGUUGUUGAUGCUGCUGUUGUUUCUUUGAAAAGAUCUUCUCUGUAGGUCUUUAUUCUCAUGUAAUUCUCAUCGGAAACGAGAGUUUGAGGAUAGAGCUGGUGGUGAAAUCCUAACAUUGUAGUGUUGGAACCAAUAACUCUUCGAUUUUCACCUCCAUUAUUGUUAUUAGCAUCAUAGAAAGCUAGACCGCUAUGAAAAGAAAGAGGAGCUGAUUUUGAUGCCGGCGCUGAAAUGGUAGUGCCACUGCUACGUAAGGACACAUUUAGUGUUGAGAAAUUGGCAGGAAUUGUACCAGUUCCAGUAGCUGCAAUUAUUGCUGGUUCUGCUUGUUGUAAGAGCCAUUCAAUUGUUUCUCCAUCAGAUUUAUGGCCUAAUUCUCUGGUAAGCUGAAAGACUCUCGCAGCACAUAAGGCCGGCAUGCGGAUGCGGCGUCCACGGCCAUCCACCUUGGUGUGGCGGUCCUUGGAGGGUCUUUUGGUGGUGGGUUUGGUGAGGGCAGCAGAAUUGGAGUUGGAGGUUGAAGGGUGGACAGUAAUUUGGUUGGAGAUGGAGCCCAUGAAUGGGCCCUGAGCAGUACUAGUAAUGGUGGCGGUAGCAGCAGUAGACCCAUGCUGUUGAAGUUGUGAUGAUUGGUUUUCAAGAGAGACUAAUUGCAGUGAAGCUGCUGAUUCUUGUUUUUGGCCAUGGUGAUCUUUACUGCUACUCUUGAUGUUUUCUUGGUUAUUGCUCUGUGACUCCAUCAACACCAUCUGGGUUUUGAACACUUCAAAGCAAAAUUCUUUCUUCUUCUUCUUCUUCU